rnacentral:rRNA from 1 species
GCAAGUCGAGCGCUACCUUCGGGUGGAGCGGCGGACGGGUGAGUAACGCGUAGGAAUCUACCUGGUAGUGGGGGAUAACAUGGAGAAAUCCAUGCUAAUACCGCAUACGUCCUAAGGGAGAAAGUGGGGGAUCUUCGGACCUCACGCUAUCAGAUGAGCCUGCGUAAGAUUAGCUAGUUGGUGAGGUAAAGGCUCACCAAGGCGACGAUCUUUAGCUGGUCUGAGAGGAUGAUC